rnacentral:rRNA from 1 species
UGAGGAAUAUUGGUCAAUGGGGGCAACCCUGAACCAGCCAAGUCGCGUGAAGGAUGAAGGUCUUAUGGAUUGUAAACUUCUUUUACACGGGAAUAAAGUGGGGGACGUGUCCCCCUUUGCAUGUACCGUGUGAAUAAGGAUCGGCUAACUCCGUGCCAGCAGCCGCGGUAAUACGGAGGAUCCGAGCGUUAUCCGGAUUUAUUGGGUUUAAAGGGUGCGCAGGCGGGAUGUUAAGUCGGCGGUGAAAUUUUGCAGCUCAACUGUAAAAGUGCCUUCGAUACUGGCCGCCUUGAGUGUGGAUGAAUUAGGCGGAAUGUGUGGUGUAGCGGUGAAAUGCUUAGAUAUCACGAGGAACUCCGAUUGCGCAGGCAGCUUACUAAUCCACAACUGACGCUCAUGCACGAAGGCGUGGGGAUCAAACA